rnacentral:rRNA from 1 species
CCCUUAGAGUUUGAUCCUGGCUCAGAUUGAACGCUGGCGGCGUGCCUAACACAUGCAAGUCGAGCGGUAACAGGCGUAGCAAUACGUGCUGACGAGCGGCGGACGGGUGAGUAAUGCUUGGGAAUCUUCCUAGUAGUGGGGAAUAACCAACCGAAAGGUUGGCUAAUACCGCAUACGUCCUACGGGAGAAAGCGGGGGAUCGUAAGACCUCGCGCUAUUGGAUGAGCCCAAGUCGGAUUAGCUAGUUGGCGGGGUAACGGCCCACCAAGGCGACGAUCCGUAGCUGGUCUGAGAGGACGACCAGCCACACCGGAACUGAGACACGGUCCGGACUCCUACGGGAGGCAGCAGUGGGGAAUAUUGGACAAUGGGGGAAACCCUGAUCCAGCGACGCCGCGUGUGUGAAGAAGGCCUGCGGGUUGUAAAGCACUUUUAGUGGGGAUGAAAAGUUCGGGGCUAAUAAUCCCGGAUCUUGACCUAACCCAAAGAAAAAGCACCGGCUAACUCUGUGCCAGCAGCCGCGGUAAUACAGAGGGUGCGAGCGUUAAUCGGAAUUACUGGGCGUAAAGCGAAC